GUCUAUGGCCAUACCACCCUGAACGUGCCCGAUCUCAUCUGCUCUCAGAAGCUAAGCAGGGUCGGGCCUGGUUAGUAAUUGGAUGGGAGACCGCCUGGGAAUACCGGGUGCUGUAGGCU
rnacentral:rRNA from 1 species